UACGUAGGGUGCGAGCGUUGUCCGGAAUUAUUGGGCGUAAAGAGCUCGUAGGCGGUGUGUCGCGUCGGCCGUGAAAACCUGCAGCUUAACUGUGGGCUUGCGGUCGAUACGGGCAUCACUGGAGUUCGGCAGGGGAGACUGGAAUUCCUGGUGUAGCGGUGAAAUGCGCAGAUAUCAGGAAGAACACCCGUGGCGAAAGGCGGCUCUCUGGAACGCAACUGACGCUGAGACGCGAAAAGCGUGGGGAG
rnacentral:rRNA from 1 species